GUCGACAAUACUUCAAAGAAUCAUUUCUAUAGUUAUUGUCCUCUUCUAGGUUCUCAAAAAGAGCCAGAAACCCCACCCGGGUUGAUGACUUUAUAUCCUCGACUUGCCCGUUUUUACGAAAACUUUAGCUGCGCUUUUGCCGGCGUGCUUUGGGGUCUUCAUUGAUCCCGUUACCCUCGCUCCUGCCUGCAAAGGCAGCGGACCAGGAAGCGCGUUUGUCUCUUCGGAUUCAAAUGUCUUCUAGGACUGUAUUAACAGAGGGUGGUGAUGAGCUAUACCCUGGACUGGAGGUCUGCUUCUCCUUUGGAGGGCGCUCUGCCAGGGUGGGUGUCGAUGGACGUCUGACCGGC
rnacentral:snoRNA from 1 species